UACGAAGGGGGCUAGCGUUGCUCGGAAUCACUGGGCGUAAAGGGUGCGUAGGCGGGUUUUUAAGUCAGGGGUGAAAUCCUGGAGCUCAACUCCAGAACUGCCUUUGAUACUGAAGAUCUUGAGUCCGGGAGAGGGUGAGUGGAACUGCGAGUGUAGAGGUGAAAUUCGUAGAUAUUCGCAAGAACACCGGUGGCGAAGGCGACAUCCUGGACCGGUAUUGACGCUGAGGCGCGAAAGCCAGGGGAGCAAAGCGGG
rnacentral:rRNA from 1 species